rnacentral:rRNA from 1 species
UACGGGGGGGCAAGCGUUGUUCGGAAUUACUGGGCGUAAAGGCUCGUAGGCGGCCAACUAAGUCAGACGUGAAAUCCCUCGGCUUAACCGGGGAACUGCGUCUGAUACUGGAUGGCUUGAGGUUGGGAGAGGGAUGCGGAAUUCCUGGUGUAGCGGUGAAAUGCGCAGAUAUCAGGAGGAACACCAAUGCGAAGGCAGCUCACUGGGACGA